AAUACGAGAUUAACAAAGAUUAAUUAAAAUUCGAAGAUAGAUAUUGAUUAUGACAGUAUUUGCUANUGUCUUGACCAAGUCACGUGCCAGCAGUCGCGGNAAUACGUGGAAGAUUAGCGUUAUUCAUCUUUANUUGGUUUAAAGGGUACCUAGACGGUUAAUCAAACACAAUAUGUAUUAAUUAACUAGAGUUUAAUAUAANAAAGAUUGAGUACGGNGAGUGUAGAGAUAAAAUUUUGUCCUAGGAACUGGUAAAGGCGAAGGCGACUUUCUAUGUAAAAACUGACGUUGAGGGACGAAGGCUUGUAUUAAAUAACANGAUUAGAUACCCUAGUAUUGUGAGCAGACGAUGAUGAGUGUCAUAUGCAAUUUGUGUAUAAAUGAAAGUGUAAGCAUUCCACCUCAAGAGUAACGUGGCAACACGGGAAUUGAAAUCAUUAGCACCGCUUCUGAAACUCGUAGUGAAGUAUGUUGUUUAAUUUGAUGAUCCGCAAAAACCCUUACCCCAAACAAGCGUUGCACGGCUGUCUUCAGUCAAUGUUGUGAAACUGUGGUUAGAUCCAUAUAAUUGACGUAAACCCUUNCUUUAAAGUAGUUCGCCAUUGGUAGUGAUAUAAGGGACUAAGCCAAGUCAUCAUGACCUGAACA
rnacentral:rRNA from 1 species